GUGCAGCAGGCGCGAAUACUUUACAAUGUGCGAAAGCACGAUAAGGGAACUCUGAGUGCCUCCUAAGGAGGCUGUUCUGAUGUCUAAAAGCAACAGAAGUAAGGGCUGGGUAAGACCGGUGCCAGCCGCCGCGGUAACACCGGCAGCCCAAGUGGUAGCCACGUUUAUUGGGUCUAAAGCGUUCGUAGCCGGCCAGGUAAGUUCCUUGGUAAAUUUAGCCGCUUAACGGUUAAGCUUUCAGGGAAUACUGCUUGGCUUGGGACUGGGAGAGGUCAGAGGUACUCCGGGGGUAGGGGUGAAAUCUAUUAAUCCCUGGGGGACCACCGGUAGCGAAGGCGUCUGACCAGACCAGGUCCGACGGUGAGGGACGAAGGCUAGGGGCGCGAACCGGAUUAGAUACCCCUGUAGU
rnacentral:rRNA from 1 species